CUGGUUGAUUCUGCCAGUAGUCAUAUGCUUGUCUC
rnacentral:rRNA from 6 species